UGUCACGUGGUGGUGACGUUAAGAACACAGUAGCAAUACUGUGAAAGGCAAAACUAGAUUUUAUUGGGCGAACCUGUGCCCACAAAACAGGCUACACUUAUAGCACAACGAAAGCAGCGAACACAGUCGGCGAUCGUCCGAAAUCUGAUCAGCGAGGCAAGCGCGUCGGCUUUUAUACAGCAAGCGUCGAAUGUUCCAGACUAAUCGUUCGGACCCGCGCGCCUUCCACAAUGUUCUACACCAUUCGCGUCACACGAUGAAAUCAGAUAACACAACGUUCGGCGACAACAGACAGCCGGGUAGAAGCAUCGAUAACUUUCCAGAAACUUCGGAUACAUGCAAGCGCGUCCCGCGCUGUGCGAUUACAUUUGUUAGGUGGCGAAACGUGGUCGCCAGACAAGUACACGUGUCAAUAUCAUUUGUGCUCAAUUAACCUUGCUGCAAGACUUUUUCCAAGGGCAAGGCCUAGAAUGUUGGUCAAUUUUUGAUGCUCGGACCUAGUUUGAUGUGAUUUUCUGUGACAUUUUUCUCUAUUCCUUUCUUGAUUAUUUUGGAUAGUGGCCUUCUUAGGAGCUAUUGCUUCAUUAGACGUUUCCUGGGAAGGAAAAUCUUGGAUGCCUUUAUACCACACUAGUGCGCAUCAUCUGUAUGGAAACAAAGCGCUCCAUGAGCAGAGGUCUGUCUGCGGCAGCUGCUGUGAAUUGCGCCCACGCAUCACCCAUGUGCUGCUCUCGUGGUCUUCCAAUAAGCAACGCAGUCGUGCCACACUUCGCUUUGUUUGCGAAAGUGCCACACGAGACAGAUUGUCCAUGCUAGCCAAUAUAUUGCGAAAUGGAAACAUGUAUAGAGCUGCACUCAAAUUUCACAUUAGGCAGUAGGUGAAAUAUUUUGUAAAAAUACCAAUUAUAUAAAUACCAUGCAAUGAAACCGAUCAAUAUGUACUGAACCAAACUUGUCACCUAAUCGCACUGCAGGGAACCCCUGAUCAUUCUAAGUUACACCAAAGGCUUGUCAUAUUUAAAUUGUCUCUUGUGCACGCAGUGCAUGAAUGGGAUAUCAUUGAAAAAUAUGUGAAUGCCUAAGGGAGUGUAAUCAGGACUGGCACUUUUUUCACUUUAACUGUCAGUUCCCUAUAUGUUGCUUCGAUAUAGGGAGGUUAUGAUCUAAUAGAAACAGUUGGAAGACUGCUCUGUCCACAUUGUCACUUCCAUAUAUAUUUUGUUUUGCACUGUGCAUUCGUUUAAGACCCAUCAACUAGCCCAAAUUAAUUUACAUAUCUCAUAAAAGCAAGUGCACUGCAGUUGGAGCUUUGGAAAUAGGCCUGUGUUUAAAACAGAUUCGAGUGGUCGACACAUGAAGUGGGCUCAUUCAUGUGAGUAUCCAUGUCAGUGCUGUAUUGUCUUUUUUUGAAGAGGAUCGAUCGAUUGUUCCUGCUUUAGAUAGUCUAGUGAUCUAGAGAGCAUAUUUUAAAAGGCUGAUGAAAAAGGGAACACUUUUGGAUUUUGCGUGCUAACUACUAUCUUGUCAGCUGCUACAGCUUUUGUAAAUAUUCAGUAAACAUAUUUGGUGCAUCUCUUUUCCUCUGUAACACUUUCAUGGAGGUUGUGGACGCUUCCAGACACAAGACUGAUUUAUGCAGCAGGCGCUCCUUGGCUGCAUCUGCAAUGCUAGCUCAAGGCGGGAAUGCUUUGGGCACGUUGCCAUCUGCGUCCACAGUCAUCCUGGCACAACUGCCAUGGUGGAAAAGGAAAGUAUCAGCAACGUUCUCACACCUACACUGUCCUUAUUGAACUUUCCAAAAGGGGAACGUAUCCAAUAAAAUAAAGCACUAAUUUACUUUCAUGCUGAGGAAUUAUAACUCUUACAAAUUGAUGUGGUUUCUACCUGGUGAUCUUCACUGCACUAAAGAGUUAUGAGCUAGGUACUAGGGUAUCCCAGCAACACCAUCUUCUCUCAUCUCUUAGAGAGAGAAAAAAAAAUCGUUAUAACUUUACUUCACUCUGCAAAAUGCUUGAAGCAUAAAAAUAUCACUCGUUUCUUUAUUUUUACAUAUUAUAGUACACAAGCGCAUAUUAAACAAUGAACAGUAUCCCUCAUUGUCUUCUCCCAUCCAGUCAUCCCUGGCCCAAGACUAUGCGACUGCCAGGUCAGCAAGCCAAAUUAAAGAAAGUGUACCACACAUGAAAUAGGACGCUGGAAAACUUAUAAAUUGUGUUGUAGUUUAACCUAACCCUCCCCCCCCCCUCCUCCUCCUACAUGACAAAAACUUGUUUGCAUGUCAAGGUAGCAUCAGAAAAUACUAAAUUUCUUUUCUGAUUGAAAUUAAACCUGGAAAGUAUUCUAUCAAGUGCAGAGGGCAGAAGAGCAUUAGCAAAUAGCAUAGCUUUCAAGAUUUUUCAUACAGUGCCUAUAGGUUGCCUUGAUGCUGCCUCCAAUCUCCCUUGUACUGAAGCAUGCACACACAUUAUACCUCCAUUGAUACCGAAGUCCCACUCAAAAGUCUCUGGCCACCGCAAAUCAUCCUGCAUGUACCGGUGACAAGGUGUACAUCUUUGGAGAAGUUAUUUCUGAUUCAAACAUCUGAUGGGCCAGAAAACUAUAAAUUUUGUUAUGUCACCAAUAACCAAAACACGAAUUAAUAUUCCUGCUUGCAGGCACACAAACUGACUGCUGUUACUGAACAGCGCUCCGUGGCAUUCAAGUAAAGAAUGAUCUUGAUCGUCACUUAUACGAAUAAUCAUUUGGUUGUAUGGCUGGGAUUCCUAGGUCAUGUGAAUUGCAGUGGAGCUACUUAGUGUAGUGACUGACUUGGGGCUGCUCAAUAGUUUUUUUUUUUUUUGAUGCCACUCUAAUGUCUGCCAAAUAAAAGAAAAUGUUUCUUUCUA